UACAGAGGGGGCAAGCGUUGUUCGGAAUUACUGGGCGUAAAGGGCGCGUAGGCGGCCUUCUAAGUCGAACGUGAAAUCCCCGGGCUCAACCCGGGAACUGCGUCUGAUACUGGGUGGCUUGAAUCCGGGAGAGGGAUGCGGAAUUCCAGGUGUAGCGGUGAAAUGCGUAGAUAUCUGGAGGAACACCGGUGGCGAAGGCGGCAUCCUGGACCGGCAUUGACGCUGAGGCGCGAAAGCCAGGGGAGCAAACGGG
rnacentral:rRNA from 1 species